UAGAAAAACAGGACUUGAACCU
rnacentral:tRNA from 1 species